rnacentral:rRNA from 1 species
AACGCGAAGAACCUUACCAGCCCUUGACAUGGGGAGUAUGGGCCUGAGAGAUCGGGUCCUUCAGUUCGGCUGGCUCCCGCACAGGUGCUGCAUGGCUGUCGUCAGCUCGUGUCGUGAGAUGUUGGGUUAAGUCCCGCAACGAGCGCAACCCUCGUCUUCAGUUGCCAUCACGUUUGGGUGGGCACUCUGAAGAAACUGCCGGUGACAAGCCGGAGGAAGGUGGGGAUGACGUCAAGUCCUCAUGGCCCUUACGGGCUGGGCUACACACGUGCUACAAUGGCGGUGACAGAGGGGAGCGACGGGGCGACCCUGAGCCAAUCCCGAAAAGCCGUCUCAGUUCGGAUUGCACUCUGCAACUCGAGUGCAUGAAGUCGGAAUCGCUAGUAAUCGCGGAUCAGCACGCCGCGGUGAAUACGUUCCCGGGCCUUGUA